AGUGAACGCUGGCGGUAGGCCUAACACAUGCAAGUCGAACGGCAGCACAGUAAGAGCUUGCUCUUACGGGUGGCGAGUGGCGGACGGGUGAGGAAUACAUCGGAAUCUACUUUUUCGUGGGGGAUAACGUAGGGAAACUUACGCUAAUACCGCAUACGACCUACGGGUGAAAGCAGGGGAUCUUCGGACCUUGCGCGAUUGAAUGAGCCGAUGUCGGAUUAGCUAGUUGGCGGGGUAAAGGCCCACCAAGGCGACGAUCCGUAGCUGGUCUGAGAGGAUGGUCAGCCACACUGGAACGGAGACACGGUCCAGACUACUACGGGAGGCAGCAGUGGGGAAUAUUGGACAAUGGGCGCAAGCCUGAUCCAGCCAUACCGCGUGGGUGAAGAAGGCCUUCGGGUUGUAAAGCCCUUUUGUUGGGAAAGAAAAGCAGCAGGUUAAUACCCCGCUGUUCUGACGGUACCCAAAGAAUAAGCACCGGCUAACUUCGUG
rnacentral:rRNA from 1 species